UACGGAGGGGACUAGCGUUGUUCGGAAUACUGGGCGUAAAGCGCACGUAGACGGAUUUGUAAGUCAGGGGUGAAAUCCCGGGGCUCAACCUCGGAACUGCCUUUGAUACUGCAAAUCUCGAGUCCGGAAGAGGUGAGUGGAAUUCCUAGUGUAGAGGUGAAAUUCGUAGAUAUUAGGAAGAACACCAGUGGCGAAGGCGGCUCACUGGUCCGGUACUGACGCUGAGGCGCGAAAGCUAGGGGAGCAAACGGG
rnacentral:rRNA from 1 species